rnacentral:rRNA from 1 species
AUAGCGUACACGGGCCUCCGCCUCUCCCCUUCUGCUUUGCUUCCGGUAACGAACCCUAGCCCACUCACCGCGGCGCGACUCACAGGGCAGCCGAUCUCGCGCUCCGGUCGGCGGCGGCGGCGGCGGCGAGAUGGUGGUGGUGGGGGGCGGCAGCGGGAAUGCGUGGGCGAAGGAGAUGACCCUCCGCCGGAGGAUGGCCAGCAUAUUCAACAAGACGCGGGAGCACUUCCCGUCGCUGAAAGACUACAACGAUUACCUGGAGGAGGUGGAGGAUAUGAGAAUCGACGUCGAGGCGAUCGAGGCUAGGAUUGCCAGGUAUCAGCAGGAAAAUGCUGAGCAGAUAUACUUGUCGCGAGCUAAAAGGGCUGAAGAUCUUGCCGCGGCGCUUAAAGCAAGCAGAAUGGUCACUGUGAAGGCUGGCCCGAGUGAUACGGCGGCUGGAACCUCCCAAGGUAUUAGUGGUGGAGCAGGAGUUCAAGGCCAGUAUGCACCUGCCGCCGUUCCUGGUGGGUUGAAUCAGCCUCGUCCGACUGGUAACGCCCCGCAGCCAAUCGGUGGUUCAUCCGAUCCUCUACAUGGAUAUGAUGAGGAGACCAUGCGACUACGUGCGGAGAGAGGAGCUCGGGCAGGUGGUUGGACUGCUGAGUUGGGCAGGCGAAGAGCACUGGAGGAGGCAUUUAACAGCAUAUUCGUAUAAAGGUUAGAUCAGGCGCAGCAACUGUCCCAGAGGAUGCAUGGUUAACUUAUUACGACCCUUAUACCACAGCGCGUACUUGUCCAGCUAUAACCUGUUGGUUGUGGCCUACAUUUUGGACAUCAAGCAGAAGGGAUUGAAGUGUCUGAUCAGCAUCAAGCGGCCCAGUGGUCGUCCCUUUUUGCGAGUCGAGAAGUUGCAUAUUGAUGUACCUAUGAUCAUGCCAAUGACUGAAACUUUUGUCAUUGCCCCUCUGUAAUGGCAUGAUUUUUGUUGUUCGUCAAACUUCGGCUCCUUUUGAAAUAUAAUAUGAGUGCUAUCAGUAU